rnacentral:misc_RNA from 1 species
GUGAAUUAAACAUGCUUGGUGUCUUCGCUUCGGCAAGGCCCUUGCUUAAAUCACAUCCUAACACCUGUGAACUGUAAGACGUAUGAUGAGGUCUUUGGCCAAGUCAUCGUCUGCCCAUUUUAACAAACAAUUAAUGUAACAAACGUAGUCUUAUUAUAACCUAAU